AUGAACGCUGGCGGCGUGCCUAAUACAUGCAAGUCGAGCGAACAGACGAGGAGCUUGCUCCUCUGACGUUAGCGGCGGACGGGUGAGUAACACGUGGAUAACCUACCUAUAAGACUGGGAUAACUUCGGGAAACCGGAGCUAAUACCGGAUAAUAUAUUGAACCGCAUGGUUCAAUAGUGAAAGACGGUUUUGCUGUUACUUAUAGAUGGAUCCGCGCCGCAUUAGCUAGUUGGUAAGGUAACGGCUUACCAAGGCAACGAUGCGUAGCCGACCUGAGAGGGUGAUCGGCCACACGGGAACUGAGACACGGUCCAGACUCCUACGGGAGGCAGCAGUAGGGAAUCUUCCGCAAAGGGCGAAAGCCUGACGGAGCAACGCCGCGUGAGUGAUGAAGGUCUUCGGAUCGUAAAACUCUGUUAUUAGGGAAGAACAAAUGUGUAAGUAACUAUGCACGUCUUGACGGUACCUAAUCAGAAAGCCACGGCUAACUACGUG
rnacentral:rRNA from 1 species